UACGUAGGGGGCAAGCGUUGUCCGGAAUCAUUGGGCGUAAAGCGCGUGUAGGCGGCCCGAUAAGUCCGCUGUGAAAGUCCAGGGCUCAACCCUGGAAUGCCGGUGGAUACUGUCGGGCUCGAGUCCGGAAGAGGAGUGUGGAAUUCCGUGGUGUAGCGGUGAAAUGCGCAGAUAUCAGGAGGAACACCAAUGGCGAAGGCAGCACUCUGGGACGCGACUGACGCUGAGGCACGAAGGCCAGGGGAGCAAACGGG
rnacentral:rRNA from 1 species